GUGGCAUCUGGGAAGCUGGUGUCAAAUCGGCCAAAUAUCAUUUAAGACGUGUAAUAGACACGUCUCAUUUAACUUUUUAGAAAAUUUCAAUCAACACUUUGCACAAGUGGAAGCUAUACUAAAUGGCCUUCCCUUGUGUCCUUUAACUUCAUCCCUUGACAAUUCCCUUUUCCUUUCCCCAGGGCACUUCUUAACCAGGAAGACCACUGAAUGCGCUGCCGUCACCAUCUCUGAAGACUAAAGAUGAAAAACGACUCCAGCGCUACGCUCGAACAAAAUGGAGACAAAGCAAGAGCAAGAUAAAGAUAGGAGACUACAGGAGAUUCUACUUCACGAGAAAUCUCUCCCACCUCUUUGUUGACGUGCUGGGCGAGUAAACAAAUUGCAUCCCGGCCCUGAUGGAAUUGUCCGUGUUGCUGACGUGAAGACUACCUCCGGCAGCUACCGACGGCCCUUAGUGCGGCUCUGCCCGCUGCUCAGCGAUGAAGACUUCGAGAGUUGAAGAGCUGGAGCCUUCAACCGGGGGGAGUAUGUUGCGGCCCUACUCGCGCCUCGUCAUAUUCUAAUAGCAAAAUCUACUUCUAAUGUAAAUGUCACAUAACUUUUGUCAGUCAAUACUUUAUAUUGAGAACCAUUGUAUAAAAUCACUUCUCUUUUGGAUUCCGAUCGAACAACAUCAAAAUUGUAACGUCUCAAGAAUACAACGAAAUAAGCAG